rnacentral:rRNA from 1 species
ACGGAGGGAGCUAGCGUUGUUCGGAAUUACUGGGCGUAAAGCGCGCGUAGGCGGCUUAGCAAGUAGAGGGUGAAAUCCCGGGGCUUAACCUCGGAACUGCCUUCUAAACUGCUGAGCUAGAAUCCUGGAGAGGUGAGUGGAAUUCCUAGUGUAGAGGUGAAAUUCGUAGAUAUUAGGAAGAACACCAGUGGCGAAGGCGACUCACUGGACAGGUAUUGACGCUGAGGUGCGAAAGCGUGGGGAGCAAACAGG